rnacentral:rRNA from 1 species
AUUGAACGCUGGCGGCAGGCCUAACACAUGCAAGUCGAGCGGAUGACGGGAGCUUGCUCCUUGAUUCAGCGGCGGACGGGUGAGUAAUGCCUAGGAAUCUGCCUGGUAGUGGGGGACAACGUUUCGCAAGGAACGCUAAUACCGCAUACGUCCUACGGGAGAAAGCAGGGGACCUUCGGGCCUUGCGCUAUCAGAUGAGCCUAGGUCGGAUUAGCUAGUAGGUGAGGUAAUGGCUCACCUAGGCGACGAUCCGUAACUGGUCUGAGAGGAUGAUCAGUCACACUGGAACUGAGACACGGUCCAGACUCCUACGGGAGGCAGCAGUGGGGAAUAUUGGACAAUGGGCGAAAGCCUGAUCCAGCCAUGCCGCGUGUGUGAAGAAGGUCUUCGGAUUGUAAAGCACUUUAAGUUGGGAGGAAGGGUUGUACGUUAAUACCGUGCAAUUUUGACGUUACCGACAGAGUAAGCACCGGCUAACUCUGUGCCAGCCGCCGCAGUAA